GGUGGGCUCUUGCUCCUCCAGGAACUACACAUAAGGAACAUACUGGAACGUUUCAACACCUUGUGUAUUCACUCAUUCUCUGUAUAUGGAGUAUUCAGAUGUGCCCCAAACCGUGCCAGCAACCGGGGGAUACCAUGUGAAUCAAACAGGAGGUGACCAUUUACUGGAAGAGAGACAGUCCACAAGUCACUACAAAUUGCAGAUACCAACCGCAAACCCUCACCUGUCCUACGUAGAAAAAGUGCAGAGAACUGAGAGACCAUGGACUGGAGUGUGGGGGGCCUGCUCUGCUUCCUCUAAGACUGUGAUCUGAAGGACAGGAUAGUGUGAGCGGUGCUAGGGGCAGAGGAGGCGUCCCAGACUCGAGGUGUAGUAUGUGCAAAGGCCCUGGAGCAGGGGAGAUUGCCAAGAGGGAGGACCUGAGAGGAAAGCUGUGUGGGCUCAAACCCAAAGCCACGGUGACAGAGGGCCUCCGCCUGACUUACUGAGUGGUCCGCAGAUGUGUGGCUGGCCUCUGGAGCUCGACCUCCACCACAGAGAAAUAGCUGCUGGAUCUCCCAGCACUGAUGGCCCCAGCUACUCCCGCCUCUACCAACAGGAAUGAGCUUUGUGAGCAUCUGUCCUUCA